AGCGUAGACGGACUGGCAAGUCUGAUGUGAAAGGCGGGGGCUCAACCCCUGGACUGCAUUGGAAACUGUUAGUCUUGAGUGCCGGAGAGGUAAGCGGAAUUCCUAGUGUAGCGGUGAAAUGCGUAGAUAUUAGGAGGAACACCAGUGGCGAAGGCGGCUUGCUGGACAGUAACUGACGUUGAGGCUCGAAAGCGUGGGAGCAAACA
rnacentral:rRNA from 1 species